rnacentral:rRNA from 1 species
UACAGAGGUCUCAAGCGUUGUUCGGAUUCAUUGGGCGUAAAGGGUGCGUAGGUGGCGGGGUAAGUCAGGUGUGAAAUCUCGAGGCUCAACCUCGAAACUGCACUUGAUACUGCCUUGCUCGAGUACUGGAGAGGAGAUUGGAAUUUACGGUGUAGCAGUGAAAUGCGUAGAUAUCGUAAGGAAGACCAGUGGCGAAGGCGAAUCUCUGGACAGUUACUGGCACUGAGGCACGAAGGCCAGGGGAGCAAACGGG